AGUCGAACGGCAGCACGGGAGCAAUCCUGGUGGCGAGUGGCGAACGGGUGAGUAAUAUAUCGGAACGUGCCCAGUCGUGGGGGAUAACGUAGAGAAAUUUACGCUAAUACCGCAUACGAUCUAAGGAUGAAAGCGGGGGACCGUAAGGCCUCGCGCGAUUGGAGCGGCUGAUAUCAGAUUAGGUUGUUGGUGAGGUAAAAGCUCACCAAGCCGACGAUCUGUAGCUGGUUUGAGAGAACGACCAGCCACACUGGGACUGAGACACGGCCCAGACUCCUACGGGAGGCAGCAGUGGGGAAUUUUGGACAAUGGGCGAAAGCCUGAUCCAGCAAUGCCGCGUGCAGGAAGAAGGCCUUCGGGUUGUAAACUGCUUUUGUACGGAACGAAAAGGUCUGCCCUAAUACGGCGGGCCCAUGACGGUACCGUAAGAAUAAGCACCGGCUAACUACGUGCCAGCAGCCGCGGUAAUACGUAGGGUGCGAGCGUUAAUCGGAAUUACUGGGCGUAAAGCGUGCGCAGGCGGUGAUGUAAGACAGUUGUGAAAUCCCCGGGCUCAACCUGGGAAUUGCAUCUGUGACUGCAUCGCUAGAGUACGGUAGAGGGGGAUGGAAUUCCGCGUGUAGCAGUGAAAUGCGUAGAUAUGCGGAGGAACACCGAUGGCGAAGGCAAUCCCCUGGACCUGUACUGACGCUCAUGCACGAAAGCGUGG
rnacentral:rRNA from 1 species